rnacentral:rRNA from 1 species
AUUGAACGCUGGCGGCAGGCUUAACACAUGCAAGUCGAGCGGAGAGAGGUAGCUUGCUACUGAUCUUAGCGGCGGACGGGUGAGUAAUGCUUAGGAAUCUGCCUAUUAGUGGGGGACAACAUUUCGAAAGGAAUGCUAAUACCGCAUACGUCCUACGGGAGAAAGCAGGGGAUCUUCGGACCUUGCGCUAAUAGAUGAGCCUAAGUCGGAUUAGCUAGUUGGUGGGGUAAAGGCCUACCAAGGCGACGAUCUGUAGCGGGUCUGAGAGGAUGAGCCGGCACACUGGGACUGAGACACGGCCCAGACUCCUACGGGAGGCAGCAGUGGGGAAGAUUGGACAAUGGGCGGAAGCCUGAUCCAGCCAUGCCGCGUGUGUGAAGAAGGCCUUAUGGUUGUAAAGCACUUUAAGCGAGGAGGAGGCUACUUUAGUUAAUACCUAGAGAUAGUGGACGUUACUCGCAGAAUAAGCACCGGCUAACUCUGUGCCAGCCGCCGCGGUAAAAC